AUAGUCGAAGAAUCUCAAAGAACUGUCGUAAUGAGGCACAACGAGGAGGCAUUAUUCGGAGCCACAAAAGAAGGCAAGAUGAGGGAGAAAUAUGAAACAGCAGUAGGUUGUGGCACAAGGCACAAAGACGACUGAAUCGAGAGAGAGGGAUACUUGAGUGAUGAUGGCAAACGAGAAAUGUCCUUUGGAGGCACACCCACUAGAAAUUGACAUUUAAGAGAAACAGAGGUGUGAAACAAAGGGCGUGAAGGAUUUGAUAGAGAUGAAAAUUAUUCUCGGCCCUGAUUCGCCUUGCCCAGCACCUGAUCAGUUUUUUCUGACCUUGCCCUA
rnacentral:misc_RNA from 1 species